rnacentral:rRNA from 1 species
AACAGGAUUAGAUACCCUGGUAGUCCACGCUGUAAACGAUGUCGACUUGGAGGUUGUGCCCUUGAGGCGUGGCUUCCGGAGCUAACGCGUUAAGUCGACCGCCUGGGGAGUACGGCCGCAAGGUUAAAACUCAAAUGAAUUGACGGGGGCCCGCACAAGCGGUGGAGCAUGUGGUUUAAUUCGAUGCAACGCGAAGAACCUUACCUACUCUUGACAUCCAGAGAAUUUGCUAGAGAUAGCUUAGUGCCUUCGGGAACUCUGAGACAGGUGCUGCAUGGCUGUCGUCAGCUCGUGUUGUGAAAUGUUGGGUUAAGUCCCGCAACGAACGCAACCCUUAUCCUUUGUUGCCAGCACGUAAUGGUGGGAACUCAAAGGAGACUGCCGGUGAUAAACCGGAGGAAGGUGGGGAUGACGUCAAGUCAUCAUGGCCCUUACGAGUAGGGCUACACACGUGCUACAAUGGCAUAUACAAAGAGAAGCGAACUCGCGAGAGCAAGCGGACCUCAUAAAGUAUGUCGUAGUCCGGAUUGGAGUCUGCAACUCGACUCCAUGAAGUCGGAAUCGCUAGUAAUCGUAGAUCAGAAUGCUACGGUGAAUACGUUCCCGGGCCUUGUACACACCGCCCGUCACACCAUGGGAGUGGGUUGCAAAAGAAGUAGGUAGCUUAACCUUCGGGAGGGCGCUUACCACUUUGUGAUUCAUGACUGGGGUGAAGUCGUAACAAGGUAACC